rnacentral:rRNA from 1 species
UAAGGUUAAGUUAAUAAGGGCGCACGGUGGAUGCCUUGGCACUAGAAGCCGAAGAAGGACGUGACUAACGACGAAAUGCUUUGGGGAGCUGUAAGUAAGCGCUGAUCCAGAGAUGUCCGAAUGGGGGAACCCACUAGUUAAUGACUAGUAUCCAUAUCUGUUAAGGAUAUGAGAAGGAAGACGCAGUGAACUGAAACAUCUAAGUAGCUGCAGGAAGAGAAAGCAAAAGCGAUUGCCUUAGUAGCGGCGAGCGAAACGGCAGGAGGGCAAACCGAAGUGUUUACACUUCGGGGUUGUAGGACUGCGAUAUAGGAUUAAUCAUUAUAGAAGAAUUACCUGGGAAGGUAAGCCAAAGAGAGUAACAGCCUCGUAUUUAAAAUGAUAGAUUAACCUUAGCAGUAUCCUGAGUACGGCGAGACACGCGAAAUCUCGUCGGAAUCUGGGAGGACCAUCUCCCAACCCUAAAUACUCUCUAGUGACCGAUAGUGAACCAGUACCGUGAGGGAAAGGUGAAAAGCACCCCGGGAGGGGAGUGAAAUAGAACCUGAAACCGUGUGCCUACAACAAGUUCGAGCCCGUUAAUGGGUGAGAGCGUGCCUUUUGUAGAAUGAACCGGCGAGUUACGAUAUGAUGCGAGGUUAAGUUGAAGAGACGGAGCCGUAGGGAAACCGAGUCUUAAUAGGGCGCCAUAGUAUCAUGUUGUAGACCCGAAACCAUGUGACCUACCCAUGAGCAGGUUGAAGGUGAGGUAAAACUCACUGGAGGACCGAACCAGGGCACGUUGAAAAGUGCUUGGAUGACUUGUGGGUAGCGGAGAAAUUCCAAACGAACUUGGAGAUAGCUGGUUCUCUCCGAAAUAGCUUUAGGGCUAGCGUCGAUGUUAAGUCUCUUGGAGGUAGAGCACUGUUUGGGUGAGGGGUCCAUCCCGGAUUACCAAUCUCAGAUAAACUCCGAAUGCCAACGAGAUAUAAUCGGCAGUCAGACUGCGAGUGCUAAGAUCCGUAGUCGAAAGGGAAACAGCCCAGACCACCAGCUAAGGUCCCAAAAUAUAUGUUAAGUGGAAAAGGAUGUGGGGUUGCACAGACAACUAGGAUGUUAGCUUAGAAGCAGCUAUUCAUUCAAAGAGUGCGUAAUAGCUCACUAGUCGAGUGACCCUGCGCCGAAAAUGUACCGGGGCUAAAACAUAUUACCGAAGCUGUGGAUGACACAAAAGUGUCAUGGUAGGAGAGCGUUCUAUGUGUGAAGAAGGUGUACCGUGAGGAGCGCUGGAACGCAUAGAAGUGAGAAUGCCGGUAUGAGUAGCGCAAGACAGGUGAGAAUCCUGUCCACCGUAAGACUAAGGUUUCCAGGGGAAGGCUCGUCCGCCCUGGGUUAGUCGGGACCUAAGGAGAGACCGAAAGGUGUAUCCGAUGGACAACAGGUUGAUAUUCCUGUACUAGAGUAUAUAGUGAUGGAGGGACGCAGUAGGCUAACUAAACCAGACGAUUGGAAGUGUCUGGUCAAACAGUGAGGUGUGAUAUGAGUCAAAUGCUUAUAUCUUUAACAUUGAGCUGUGACGAGGAGCGAAGUUUAGUAGCGAAGUUAGUGAUGUCACACUGCCAAGAAAAGCUUCUAGCGAUACAUAUACUCUACCCGUACCGCAAACCGACACAGGUAGUCGAGGCGAGUAGCCUCAGGUGAGCGAGAGAACUCUCGUUAAGGAACUCGGCAAAAUGGCCCCGUAACUUCGGGAGAAGGGGCGCUGAUUUUAGAUCAGCCGCAGUGAAUAGGCCCAAGCAACUGUUUAUCAAAAACACAGCUCUCUGCUAAAUCGUAAGAUGAUGUAUAGGGGGUGACGCCUGCCCGGUGCUGGAAGGUUAAGAGGAGUGCUUAGCGUAAGCGAAGGUAUGAAUUGAAGCCCCAGUAAACGGCGGCCGUAACUAUAACGGUCCUAAGGUAGCGAAAUUCCUUGUCGGGUAAGUUCCGACCCGCACGAAAGGCGUAAUGAUUUGGGCACUGUCUCAACGAGAGACUCGGUGAAAUUUUAGUACCUGUGAAGAUGCAGGUUACCCGCGACAGGACGGAAAGACCCCAUGGAGCUUUACUGCAGUUUGAUAUUGAGUAUCUGUACCACAUGUACAGGAUAGGUAGGAGCCUAUGAUAACGGGACGCCAGUUUCGUUUGAGGCGUUGUUGGGAUACUACCCUUGUGUUAUGGCUACUCUAACCCAGAUAGGCAAUCCCUAUCGGAGACAGUGUCUGACGGGCAGUUUGACUGGGGCGGUCGCCUCCUAAAAGGUAACGGAGGCGCCCAAAGGUUCCCUCAG